GUAGGUAAAUGUAUUGAUAUUGUUUGUUAUUAUUCCGGUAAUAAAAAUUUUUGCUUAGAUGGCAUUAUACGGGGGUGAACGGAAGUGUUGUUAAUUCUCCUAACUUGAAAAAAUUCUGUGGAAAAAUUGAAGAGCUAAUUUUCUUUCAUACUUUUUUCGUAUUAUCUCGGAGGCAUCCAUAAUAUUUUGUUUUUUGAAUUAUUUGAAUAUGUAUCUCUUUUUUUGUAAAAGCUGUAAACAACAACACUGAUUUGAAGGAUUAUUUAAUUAAAAUUAUCAAACGCACUAAAAUUAACAACACCAGACAAAAUUAACAUCUAACAAUAAAACACUGAAAACGUUUGUUUUCUGUACUUCCACAAAAUUUAUUACAACUAUGUGACUACAGCUGUUUCGGCAGAGUGCCUUUCUCAAGUGAUUUAGAAUUACUAUGGGUUUGCCUUUUUAAAGUCUUUAACUGAAGAGGUUGAGGAGUGGGGAGCUGUUUGUCUCGAGUUGGCCAUUCAGAAUUAUAUCUGUAUUUUUCAAUUUAUUAAUUUCCAUAGAUUCUAAUAAAGAUAGCUUAAGGCCUUUAUUUUGAAUAUGCAGAAUUUGAAACUGUUCAUUAAAAGAAUGAUUAUGAUCUAGAAGGUGAAGUGCGUAUGUAGAAGUGUCUGUUUUUCUAUUGUUGAAAGCCCUUUUGUGUUCUGCUAUCCGUUUGUCAAAGGUUCUGCCAGUUUGACCGAUGUAAGUUUUCGGACAGUCACCACAAGUUAGUUUGUAAACACCACUCGGUAGUUGUUUUCUCUUUCGGCUCUUAUUAUUCUUAAUAUAUUUGCUUAAGUUGUUAUUAGUUCUGAAAGCUGGUGUUAUUCCUUUCUUUUUUAUGUAUCUGGCUAUUUUUGUUGUUAUCUUGCCACAUAGUAAUCUAAAUCACUUGAGAAAGGCACUCUGCCGAAACAGCUGUAGUCACAUAGUUGUAAUAACUUUUGUGGAAGUAUAGAAAACAAAGGUUUUCAGUGUUUUAUUGUUAGAAUGUUUUUGAGAUGAAAUUUUACGUAGAACACAUGUAUCAGUAAUGUAAAUAAGUAAUGCAUUACACAAGAAGUUUUUCAAAUGAUUUAUUCAUCCGUCCAGCCAGUUCUGUUAAACUAUACAUAAACGUCACUCAAGGUCAAGGUAUGUGUCAAGUGAAAACCCUCCAAUAGCGAAUCAGUUUAGACUCAACUUACCAGAGAGCGUUUCACGAGGUAAUCUAACUUUACUUUCUGUAUCCGGAACACCAACAACUUUAAAUUUUGUACUUCCAAUUGUUGGCCGCAUAGAUGGCCUGCAAUUUGCUAAAAUCUAUAAAAAGUCUUCUUCUGUGCAAGUCUCUUUCAUCUCUGUGCAUGAUAGCAGAUGGUGACUAUUCUGAUCCGCGCCACAGUCGCAGGUAUCGUCCUCCUGUACUCACUUUUGUCUUUUAUCCUUCUCAUUCGUUCGUGGCUGUUCCUGGAAACUGGGUAUCCACUCUCAGCAGUUCCGUUGAUCUAGUCACCUCUAGUCGGAUCUGUCGUUCCAGCUGCCUUCUCCAUUGUCUAUACAUCAACCAUACGACGAAUAUGAAUACUAGGGCAAACGCUACUAUUCCCAAUAUUUCUGGAAUAGAUAUAUCGUAUCCCUUUUCUUUAGUAGCUGUGGUGCCUCCGCUGUUUCCCGCUUGGUUUAUAAAUAUUUGCUCCUCCUCCUUGUUUUGGUUAUUUCCCAUAACUAUUUCUUCUCAGCGUCCUGUCGUCUCAGCUGUCCCGCUGUCGUCUCAGCUGUCCAGGUUUAAAGGGCCAGGGGCGCCUUGUUAAGUUGGUCGACUGCCAUGAUACGUUGCAGAGUUGGUAUAACUAAUAUAUAUAAGUUGCUAACUUAUAACUUUAUUUAUGAUUUACAACAUCCAUCAAUAUAAGGUUACAUUAAGAUGUUGUUUCGCGGGGUAGUCCUUCAGGACACCCUUCUCGCAUGACUGCAACUAGCAUAGUAACGAUCUUAAUAUGAAUAAUAACAAUACUAUAAUGCCAAUAUUAAUCCCUCUGUGGGCUAUUUAUAUCUUCUUAUAAUUCGGACUUUGAAAAGUAAACUAUACGUGAGUCUCUGCGAGGUUACACAAACUCCGUCAAUCAACCUUCGUUUUGUUUGCAUAUGUAGAAACAACAUUUUUGUAACAGCCUAAUUACUUAAAUUAUAUACAUUCUUUGAUACAUAUUAUAUUAUAUAGUAAGGG